rnacentral:rRNA from 1 species
GACGAACGCUGGCGGCGUGCUUAACACAUGCAAGUCGAACGGAAAGGCCCUGCUUUUGUGGGGUGCUCGAGUGGCGAACGAGUGAGUAACACGUGAGUAACCUGCCCUUGACUUUGGGAUAACUUCAGGAAACUGGGGCUAAUACCGGAUAGGAGCUCCUGCUGCAUGGUGGGGGUUGGAAAGUUUCGGCGGUUGGGGAUGGACUCGCGGCUUAUCAGCUUGUUGGUGGGGUAGUGGCUUACCAAGGCUUUGACGGGUAGCCGGCCUGAGAGGGUGACCGGCCACAUUGGGACUGAGAUACGGCCCAGACUCCUACGGGAGGCAGCAGUGGGGAAUAUUGCACAAUGGGCGGAAGCCUGAUGCAGCAACGCCGCGUGCGGGAUGACGGUCUUCGGGUUGUAAACCGCUUUCGCCUGUGACGAAGCGUGAGUGACGGUAAUGGGUAAAGAAGCACCGGCUAACUACGUGCCAGCAGCCGCGGUGAUACGUAGGGUGCGAGCGUUGUCCGGAUUUAUUGGGCGUAAAGGGCUCGUAGGUGGUUGAUCGCGUCGGAAGUGUAAUCUUGGGGCUUAACCCUGAGCGUGCUUUCGAUACGGGUUGACUUGAGGAAGGUAGGGGAGAAUGGAAUUCCUGGUGGAGCGGUGGAAUGCGCAGAUAUCAGGAGGAACACCAGUGGCGAAGGCGGUUCUCUGGGCCUUUCCUGACGCUGAGGAGCGAAAGCGUGGGGAGCGAACAGGCUUAGAUACCCUGGUAGUCCACGCUGUAAACGGUGGGUACUAGGUGUGGGGUCCAUUCCACGGGUUCCGUGCCGUAGCUAACGCUUUAAGUACCCCGCCUGGGGAGUACGGCCGCAAGGCUAAAACUCAAAGGAAUUGACGGGGCCCCGCACAAGCGGCGGAGCAUGCGGAUUAAUUCGAUGCAACGCGUAGAACCUUACCUGGGUUUGACAUGGAUCGGGAGUGCUCAGAGAUGGGUGUGCCUCUUUUGGGGUCGGUUCACAGGUGGUGCAUGCCUGUCGUCAGCUCGUGUCGUGAGAUGUUGGGUUAAGUCCCGCAACGAGCGCAACCCUUGUUCACUGUUGCCAGCACGUUAUGGUGGGGACUCAGUGGAGACCGCCGGGGUCAACUCGGAGGAAGGUGGGGAUGACGUCAAGUCCUCAUGCCCCUUAUGUCCAGGGCUUCACGCAUGCUACAAUGGCUGGUACAGAGAGUGGCGAGCCUGUGAGGGUGAGCGAAUCUCGGAAAGCCGGUCUCAGUUCGGAUUGGGGUCUGCAACUCGACCUCAUGAAGUCGGAGUCGCUAGUAAUCGCAGAUCAGCAACGCUGCGGUGAAUACGUUCCCGGG